rnacentral:lncRNA from 1 species
CAAGACAAACAGCAGCUACUACAGAUUAGCACUAGUGUAUUCUGAGACUCUUUUCCUUCCUCUCCACCUACAUUCAUAACCUCAGACAUAGGUUGGUAUGUUAACUUUGAACAACAACAAAAGUGUAAAGAAUUACAAACUAAAGUAGUCAAUUGCUGGUAUUAAACAUUACCAUUUCUGUAACUAAACAAACAGCCAACAUUAAUAAGUAAACAUGUAUUUCAACACAGAAGUCUUCAAACCUCAGUAACAUCUGCUUCCUUCCUUCUCCUCUGUAAAGCCAGAAAUUGUAAAGAAAGUUAAGUUUCCCUUCAAGGAACAGCAGAGCGCUAUUCAGUCUGGUUCAUGUAUCUGUCAUAGAUCCUCUCUCUGUUUGGUUGCACGGUUGUCCUCAUGGCUGCUUUUAGAUUUCUCUGCGUCUUUUUUCUUCUUCGCUUUCUCAGGUUUGGUUUUGUUCCUUCCUUUCUCACUUCCAUCCGCUCCUUUGCCCGGAUAAACCUGGCCUUCCAGAGUAACAUCCGCACACCUUUCUUGACUUAUCAGGAAGUCUUUGAUCUCCCAGGCAUAACCGCCAUCACGAAGCAUAAAGAUUGCACGAUUGGAGCCAACAAUAAACCUUUGUACAUCAUAGUUUGCAUUGAAGAGACUGCCCUGCCACAAGCUAGUAAUUUCUUCUGUCUCUUUUUCCGUGGGAUUUCCUGACACUGUGACAAACAUCAUCAAAGUCUUCCCUUUUUUUGUCAGUUUCAGGAUACUUUCAGGCUUGCCUGGAUCAAUUUUUGAGAAAUCUAUUGGUGCCGGAGGCCUCUUGUGUUCAGGAAGAUCCCCCUCCUCAAUGUCAUCAUCUUUCUCCCACUGCUCCAGCAGCCGGGCCAUGUCCGCGUCGUUGUAGUCCCGAAUGUCUUUCUUCUUGGCCGGCCCCGCCCGUCGCUUCCCCUCCGGCUCCUCGGCGUGGGCCGCCGCGCACAGCCAUAACGCCAGGCCCAGCGCGGCCCAACGCGCGGCCGCCGCCAUCUUGUCCGGCAGCAGACGGCUUUUGCCUUGGGGACUCCAAUGGACUCCAGUAAGCUGCAACAGUGGAACAGGAGGAAGCAUGAGAGUAACAGCAGGGUUGGUACACAGAGAGGGCACCGCGGGCAGCGGGAUGGACUCUACUGAGUGAACACCCAGUGCAGUUCUGUCAUUGCAUCCAGGCCUGAGGCGAACCAGGAGCCCGCUGCGCUGAUGACACAGAACAACAGCAGCCAGUAGGCUGGGGUGUGGGUUUAGGAUGCUUUCUGGAUCCAGGACUUCCUAAUGGAUUAAGGCCCAGUGGGACUGGCAGCUUGUGAACUUCUGGGAGAUGGCUGCCAAGGGCACACGCCAUCAAACAAAACUGGAGUCUCCAAGCCUUAGCAAGCAGUGGAGGAUAUGGGAUGCAAGACUGCAGUGCCCUGAUAAGCAUCCACCCUUCUCUGCAACCUCCAUCCCACAGAUUAUUGUUUUAUAACAUUUCAGAAAUACCACCAGUAUGGCUGAGAAACAGGAAGCUGUUAGGCCAUAGCUAUUCAUAGAGCUUGUUAAAUACACAAUAACUGGAACAGGGUUUUAGUUAAGUGCCUCCCACAAAGCUGUCCUGUAAGUCACUAAUGAGCACAUUUGCUCAGUGACUUCUCAUUGAAUAUAACAGAUAUCAUAUAUACUACAUCCCACUGCCCUGAUUAAUGAGGUUUUACUGAAGUAUGUUCCUGCUAAGUUUGUUAUUAUUGGAUCAUGCUUAAAUUCACUAAAAUAAAAAAAAAUCUCAACUUUUGGAAUGUUGGACUAAGCAGUAUAAAAAUACAUUUUUAUUGAAUUUCUACUGGGAAAUAUUUUCUUCAACUGUUUUCUGUUAUUAGAGCAAACCAGGCCAACUUGACAUUCAUUAAUAUCUGGUGCUACGUUCACAUGCAGAUCUCAGAAGUAAUCCAAUUCCCUUUGUUAAGUGAAUAAGUGGUCCAGUUUUUCCAGCAUGGCACCAAACAAUCCUAUGUUAUCUGUCAUGCAUAUAAAAACUUCAAUUUGAAAGGAGAGUAUUUCUCAUGCUUGGCUCUAAAUGUGCAACUACCAAGCAGCGUUCUGUGCUCGUUUGAAGAACUUGUUUGAAGUACACAUGCUCUCCGUGGAGUCAGCUGCGGUUCACACACCUACUCAGCCUCUCUUUAUACUCCAUUGUUCUUUCCUGUACAAGAAACAAAAGCCAUGCAGCUACAAAUACACAUCACUCACAGAGCAAAUUAAAUUGAAUUAUCUUUUUACUGAAACAUGCUGUGUUUCCUUCAGAAACAUACAUAUCAUACAAAUAUGCUUUUUUACCUCAAGCAUUCUCGUAUGCCUUAGAAGUUUUGAUAGUCUUAGCAGCUAACACUAUUAUGGUUACAGAACAGAACAUAUCUGAUAAUAAAUGGCUACUGUCAUUGUGAAUUGCAAAUACAAAGCGUUCACUGCUUUAUUUUGUAAGUCCCAUUUGUCAUGCCAGGAGAUGUCUCAAGCUGUAGGUGUCAUUUCAUCUUCUAAAACAUACAAUUUUUAUUUUGGUAUUUUCAAUGAUAACAUCACAAUUCAAUAAGAAGUGCAAAUCUACUUCCCC